CCUACGGGCGGCAGCAGUGAGGAAUAUUGGUCAAUGGACGAGAGUCUGAACCAGCCAAGUAGCGUGAAGGAUGACUGCCCUAUGGGUUGUAAACUUCUUUUAUAAAGGAAUAAAACGAGGCACGUGUGCCUUUUUGCAUGUACUUUAUGAAUAAGGAUCGGCUAACUCCGUGCCAGCAGCCGCGGUAAUACGGAGGAUCCGAGCGUUAUCCGGAUUUAUUGGGUUUAAAGGGAGCGUAGAUGGGUUGUUAAGUCAGUUGUGAAAGUUUGCGGCUCAACCGUAAAAUUGCAAUUGAUACUGGCAGUCGUGAGUACAGUUGAGGUAAGCGGAAUUCGUGGUGUAGCGGUGAAAUGCUUAGAUAGCACGAAGAACCCCGAUUGCGAAGGCAGCUUACUAAACUGUGACUGACAUUGAUGCUCGAAAGUGUGGGUAUCAAACAGGAUUAGAUACCCCGGUAGUC
rnacentral:rRNA from 1 species